AACGUAGGAGGCGAGCGUUAUCCGGAUUUACUGGGUGUAAAGCGCGUGCAGGCGGUUCGUUAAGUUGGAUGUGAAAGCUCCCGGCUCAACUGGGAGAGGUCGUACAAGACUGGCGGACUGGAGUGUGGUAGGGGAAGGUGGAAUUCCGGGUGUAGUGGUGAAAUGCGUAGAUAUCCGGAGGAACACCAGUGGCGAAGGCGGCCUUCUAGACCACAACUGACGCUCAGACGCGAAAGCUAGGGUAGCAAACGGG
rnacentral:rRNA from 2 species